GAUGAAGAACGUAGCGAAAUGCGAUAAGUAAUGUGAAUUGCAGAAUUCAGUGAAUCAUCGAAUCUUUGAACGCACAUUGCGCCCCUUGGUAUUCCGAGGGGCAUGCCUGUUCGAGCGUCAUUAUAACCCUCAAGCUCAGCUUGGUGUUGGGGCCUGCUGCACUGGCAGCCCUUAAAAUCAGUGGCGGCGCCAUCUGGCUCUAAGCGUAGUAAUUCUUCUCGCUAUGGAGUCCUGGUGGAUGCUUGCCAUCAACCCCCAAUUUUUCUAUGGUUGACCUCGGAUCAGGUAGGGAUACCCGCUGAACUUAAGUAUAUCAAUAAGCGGAGGA
rnacentral:misc_RNA from 1 species